AAUAAGUUUAUUUUUUAGUUUUUGAUAAUGUUUUGACUCUUCGUCUUAUUUGAAAUAUUUUCAAUUAAUAUUUUUAUUGUUACUAGAUGAUAAAAUAUAAAUAAUACUUUAUAUGUGACUAUAUUUUUAAGUUUUUUAUAAAUUUUUCAAAUAAGACAAAUGGUCAAACGUUGGAUACAUAAAUUGAAAAAUGAAGUUACU
rnacentral:pre_miRNA from 1 species